rnacentral:rRNA from 1 species
GAUGAACGCUGGCGGCGUGCCUAAUACAUGCAAGUCGAGCGAACAGAUAAGGAGCUUGCUCCUUUGACGUUAGCGGCGGACGGGUGAGUAACACGUGGAUAACCUACCUAUAAGACUGGGAUAACUUCGGGAAACCGGAGCUAAUACCGGAUAACAUAUUGAACCGCAUGGUUCAAUAGUGAAAGGCGGCUUUGCUGUCACUUAUAGCUGGAUCCGCGCCGUAUUAGCUAGUUGGUAAGGUAACGGCUUACCAAGGCAACGAUACGUAGCCGACCUGAGAGGGGGAUCGGCCACACCGGAAAUGAGACAAGGUCCAGAAUCCUAAGGGAGGCAGCAGUAGGGAAUCUUCCGCAAUGGGCGAAAGCCUGACGGAGCAACGCCGCGUGAGUGAUGAAGGUCUUCGGAUCGUAAAACUCUGUUAUCAGGGAAGAACAAAUGUGUAAGUAACUGUGCACAUCUUGACGGUACCUGAUCAGAAAGCCACGGCUAACUACGUG